rnacentral:rRNA from 1 species
GUGCAGCAGUCGCGAAAACUUCACACUGUGCGAAAGCACGAUGAGGGAAUCCCAAGUGCUUGCACGUAAGUGUAAGCUGUUUCUCUGUCUAAAACGCAGAGAGAGUAAGGGCUGGGUAAGACGGGUGCCAGCCGCCGCGGGUAAUACCUGCAGCUCAAGUGGUGACCGUUAUUAUUGGGCCUAAAACGUCCGUAGCCGGUUUAAUAAAUGCCUGGGUAAAAUUGUGUAGCUUAACUAUACGAAUUCCGGGUAGACUGUUAAACUUGAGACCGGGAGAAGUUAGAGGUACUCCUGGGGUAGAGGUGAAAAUUCUGUAAUCCUAGGGGGACCACCAGUGGCGAAGGCGUCUAACUAGAACGGGUCUGACGGUGAGGGGACGAAGCCCCUGGGGGCGCGAAAACGGGGAUUUA